rnacentral:sRNA from 1 species
UUGAAACAACAAAUAGUCUCUUGGAUUUAUUGUGUUACUAUGGUGACCAGGAGCCCUCAACUGAUUAUCAUUUUCAACAAACUGGACAGUCAGAAGCAUUGGAAGAGGAAAAUGAUGAGACAUCUAGGAGGAAAGCUGGUCAUCAGUUUGGAGUUACAUGGCGAGCAAAAAACAACGCUGAGAGAAUCUUUUCUCUAAUGCCAGAGAAAAAUGAACAUUCCUAUUGCACAAUGAUCCGAGGAAUGGUGAAGCACCGAGCUUAUGAGCAGGCAUUAAACUUGUACACUGAGUUACUAAACAACAGACUCCAUGGAGCUGCUAAGACACAUGGUUGCACAGAAGGUGAAACCAAAUCUGCAGACUUUUAAUACCAUUCUGAAAUGUCUCCGAAGAUUUCAUGUGUUUGCAAGAUCGCCAGCCUUACAGGUUUUACGUGAAAUGAAAGCCAUUGGAAUAGGUGAGGAUGCGCCCUUGAGUUCUCUGAGGACAGAGACUGUGCCAGCCAGAGGUUUCAGGGCUACAUAAGCAAAGAGCUUUAAAUUAUUCUUGUGCUUACAUAAUAUGUUGGAAAUUUUCUUUCCACGUUUGG